UGGGGAAUAUUGCACAAUGGAGGGAACUCUGAUGCAGCGACGCCGCGUGAACGAAGAAGGCUUUCGAGUCGUAAAGUUCUUUUAUAUGGGAAGAUAAUGACGGUACCAUAAGAAAAAGCCCCGGCUAACUACGUGCCAGCAGCCGCGGUAAUACGUAGGGGGCUAGCGUUGUCCGGAAUCACUGGGCGUAAAGGGUUCGCAGGCGGAAAUGCAAGUCAGGUGUAAAAGGCAGUAGCUUAACUACUGUAAGCAUUUGAAACUGCAUAUCUUGAGAAGAGUAGAGGUAAGUGGAAUUUUUAGUGUAGCGGUGAAAUGCGUAGAUAUUAAAAAGAAUACCGGUGGCGAAGGCGACUUACUGAGCUCAUUCUGACGCUGAGGAACGAAAGCGAGGGUAGCAAACAGG
rnacentral:rRNA from 1 species